AGCUCCAAUAGCGUAUAUUAAAAUUGCUGCAGUUAAAGCGUCCGUAGUCGGAUUUCGUCCUUACGAGUUGGAUGCAGUGGCUACUUGUAGUUUACUCGCGCCUUCUCUUCUGGACUAGGGUGAAGCAAGUUUUCUUGUUCUCACUCUGUUACUUUGAGCAAAUUGGAGUGCUCCAACCAGGCUUUAGCUUGAACAGCUCAGCAUGGAAUAACGAGAUAGGACUUUGGUUCUUCUUGUUGGUGUCAUGAACCGAUAGUAAUGGUUGACAAGGACAUACGGGGGCAUUUGUACUUGCUGGAGAGAGGUGAAAUUCUAAGACCCUGCAAAGACAAACAAGUGUGAAAGCAUUUGCCCAGUGUGUGCCUG
rnacentral:rRNA from 1 species